rnacentral:rRNA from 1 species
GAUCCUGCCGGACCCGACUGCUAUCAGAGUGGGACUAAGCCAUGCGAGUCAACAUAGCAAUAUGUGGCAUACGGCUCAGUAACACGUAGUCAACAUGCCCAGGGGACGUGGAUAACCUCGGGAAACUGAGGAUAAACCGCGAUAAGUCACUACUUCUGGAAUGGGUAAUGACUUAAAUCUAUAUGGCCCCUGGAUUGGACUGCGGCCGAUCAGGCUGUUGGUGAGGUAAUGGCCCACCAAACCUGUAACCGGUACGGGCUCUGAGAGGAGGAGCCCGGAGAUGGGCACUGAGACAAGGGCCCAGGCCCUAUGGGGCGCAGCAGGCGCGAAACCUCUGCAAUAGGCGAAAGCCUGACAGGGUUACUCUGAGUGAUUUCCGUUAAGGAGAUYUUUUGGCACCUCUAAAAAUGGUGCAGAAUAAGGGGUGGGCAAGUCUGGUGUCAGCCGCCGCGGUAAUACCAGCACCCCGAGUGGUCGGGACGUUUAUUGGGCCUAAAGCAUCCGUAGCCGGUUCUGCAAGUCUUCCGUUAAAUCCACCUGCUUAACAGAUGGGCCGCGGAAGAUACUAUAGAGCUAGGAGGCGGGAGAGGCAAGCGGUACUCGAUGGGUAGGGGUAAAAUCCGUUGAUCCAUUGAAGACCACCAGUGGCGAAGGCGGCUUGCCAGAACGCGCUCGACGGUGAGGGAUGAAAGCUGGGGGAGCAAACCGGAUUAGAUACCCGGGUAGUCCCAGCUGUAAACGAUGCAGACUCGGUGAUGAAUUGGCUUUAUGCCUAUUCAGUGCCGCAGGGAAGCCGUUAAGUUUGCCGCCUGGGGAGUACGGUCGCAAGACUGAAACUUAAAGGAAUUGGCGGGGGGAGCACCACAAGGGGUGAAGCCUGCGGUUCAAUUGGAUC